GCAGGGCUGAGUCAGUGCUUCCUGCAGGUGGGAACGGAGAUGUCAGCAGUGCCGAUGUCCCCGUGUCCACCACGGACACACCCGACUACUUGCUGAAAUACGCCGCCAUCUCCUCCUCGGAGCAGCGCCAGAGCUACAAGAACGACUUCAACGCAGAGUACAGCGAGUACCGCGAUCUGCACGCCCGCAUCGAGCAGAUCACACGCCGCUUCACGCAGCUCGAUGCCCAGCUGCGCCAGCUGGCCCAGGGCUCUGAGGAGUACGAGACCACUCGGGGACAGAUUUUACAGGAAUAUCGGAAAAUCAAGAAGACCAACACCAACUACAGCCAGGAGAAGCGGCGCUGCGAGUACCUGCACAGCAAGCUGGCGCACAUCAAGCAGCUCAUCGCCCAGUACGACCGGCGCCAGCUGCAGCCCUGGCCCUAGCCCGGCCUGCUCCCGCCCAGACUGGCCGCUGCCUUUUCUAGUUUUCUACCAAGUCAGCCACUUUGAGCUGCUGCGAAAGAGACUCCAGUCUAUUUUUGUACAAAAGAGAACGCAAAAUCUUUUCUAAACCUGUGCCUCCCUCCUUGGAUGCCCAGGUCCGGUGCCGCCGGCCCUUCUGCAGUGUUACGGCCUUGGUCCUGACCCGGGGCCCAGCGGGCCCACAGCCGGACCUGCCGUGCGGGGCCUUGGCCGCAGGUGACACAGGAGCCUGUGGGCCUCACUCCCAGCUCCUGCCCGCUUCACACUGGCCGGGCCACGGUCUCCCUUCUGCUGCCCCAGCUCUGCCCCUCUGUCCACACGUGGGCGGCGCCAUCCCGUGGAGUCACACAGGCCUUGCUCUCAGGGAGGGGUUGAGGGCCCCGGGGUGGGGUCUCGCCUGCCCUCUCUGGGGUGCGGGCUCUGUAACACCCGGUUGCUGCUUUGUUGCUGUGCCUAUUCCCCAUGUGCGUGAGUGUACGUGUGCAUGUGUGCGCGUGUGUGUAUGGGCCCUCCCUGAGCGCGGUUGGGAGCGUGUCCUGCUCAGGGCCCAGCCGGGACAGGAAUGCGGAGGGUCACACAGGCCGGGCCGCAGCCGGGGGAGGCCGGGCAGAUGCGAGCGGCGCUGUUUCUGUAACCCACGGGUGGCCCUGUGCCUUCCAGAGAGUGGGGGAGGCUUCCUCUCCAUCUGGCCACGCAGCUGGGAAGUUGUGCAGGCCCCCCUCUGCGGGCCCAGCUUGUUGGCCGAGAGCCAGGGCAACCCCACCGGGUUCUCCAUUGUCUGUCUCCUGUCAUGUCUGUCCGUCUACCGGUGACGCCAGCCGGUUCUGCUCUAACUUAUUUAGACUGUGGAGAACCCCCUUUGAGCCAUGACGCCGGGAUCCAGAGCCUUCACUUUGCCAAAUGUUACGGUGGAGCGCCGUGGGCACCGUCGCUUCCGGGGGUUUCUCUAAAGAUCAGCUACAAUAAACCGCCUGGACGCAGCA